GCGGUAAUUCCAGCUCCAAUAGCGUAUAUUUAAGUUGUUGCAGUUAAAAAGCUCGUAGUUGGAUUUCGGGUACGCUUCAGCGGUCUCGCUUCGCGUUUGUACUGCUGCAGCCUGCCUUCUUGUCGGGGACGGGUCUACGGGCUUAAUUGCUCGAGACUCGGAGUCGGCGAUGUUACUUUGAGUAAAUUAGAGUGUUCAAAGCAAGCCUACGCUCUGAAUAUAAUAGCAUGGGAUAACACGACAGGACUCUGGCCUAUCGUGUUGGUCUGUAGGACCAGAGUAAUGAUUAAGAGGGACAGUCGGGGGCAUUCGUAUUCUGUUGUCAGAGGUGAAAUUCUCGGAUU
rnacentral:rRNA from 1 species